CGGAAAUACUUGGAAAGGUUACAUGAAUUUUGAGCAGAGGAGGAAACUGAGAACGCAGCGAGAUAUCACAGAUGCACUUUCAGUGCUGGACCAUCAUUCCUCCCUAGCAGAUGAAGCACAGGAAGAUUUUUGCUUAACAGCGGGAUUUUUCGGCAAGGCUGAACAAACUGACAGCAGGGCAAGAGAAGAAUAAUAAUUGUGGAAAUUCUAGUAAGAACUAAUUAUAGUGAGCACCACCAGGCAACUCUGAUGUUGAAAGAAAUAAAGAGAAGCACCUCUGUGAUACUUCCAGAUACAGAAAAUACAGCUCAGCCUUUGUAUUAGAUCCUGAAGCAAUAUUCAGUUGUAUUACCUAAAGGGAAAUAACAUGUGCAGUGCAGUCUUAAAGACCUGUUUGAUUAUGGCUGUUUCUCCAUGGGAGUACGUAUCACAGAAAGCCAUUAGCCAGCUCCGACUCUUUCAGCUGUUUAAUUUAUAGAUUCUCCAAAAAUUGGUUUAUAGCCAAGAUGUUUUGCUGUUUAUUGUUACUUCAUGUAAUACUGUUCAUUGGUGGUGUCUGUGUUAUGUUUCAUUUUGAGUGUUGGUAUUGCUAGGGUGGAGAUACAAGCCACACAAGGCAAAAAAAAAAAAAAAAAACACACACAAAAAAACAACCCAAAAAGCAACAACAACAACAAAAGGGAUGAAGCUGGAGAAGGAAGGUGAGCUUGUCAAAGCCUGUAGAGAAGAAGUGAGGAUAAUUAAUCAGACAAAUGGAGAGAGAGCAGGUGUGCAGAGGGAAUAGUCUGGUGGGAGCAAAAAGCAGUGGAAUGAAAAUGAAUGUCAGAAGAGCUCAUCUUCCUCCUGACCAAGCUGACUGGGAAAUGCUAACUGUAAUGAUGUGAAAAUGAUACAGCUGAUGGAUCUCUAGUAAUAACAGCCUGAAAUAUUACCCAAGUCUACUCAGAGAGUAAGAGCAAGAAGAAACACAAAGGUACAUGGAUUGGGCCCUCUUGGGUUGGGGUACGUACAGUACCAUGAGGUACAGCCCUCCAACCGGACUCGGUGCCGCUGAUCACAGCCCUCUGAGCUUGGACAGUCGGCCAGUUCUCCAUCUGCCUCACUGACCAUUCAUCAAUCCCACGUCCUAAGCUUCUUUAGAAGGAUGUUGUGAGAGACAGUGUCAUAAGCCUUGCUGAGGUCAAGGUACACAGCAUCCAUUGCUCUUCCCCUUGUCUACCCAGAUGGUGAUGACAUUGCAGAAGGCUGCCAGUUUGGCUGAGCAUGGUUUCCCCUUGGUGAAUACAUGUUGACUACUCCUGAUAACCUUCUUCUCUUCUGUUUGCUUGGAUAUGGCAUCCAAAAUAAGCUGGUCCAUCAUUUUACAUUGACCUUUAUAUGCCAUGGUAUCAGAUAUGCUUCCAUCCAAAGGAUUUCAUCAGUUCCCCAUAAUGUGAAAGUAGAAGAACAUCUUUCCUGUAUUAAAAAUAUUAGGAAUUUAAUCCAUCAGAAUUUACUCCUUGUGAAAGAAACAACUUCUUCCAUUUGCAUCAUCCCUACUUGAGAUUUUUAAGCAUCCUUAAACAGCCAUUCUUUGUAUCAGAUGACAAUCUGAACUCCGCACCCAACCUUGGCAUCUGCGGUCAUGACAUCAACAAGGUCAAAGGGUGAUGGCCAGAUACAAAGCAGUCUGCGGGUCCUUCACACGUGGGUUAACCAACAUGGCUCGCUCGAGCUUUCUUCAGAGGCGUGGAAUCAGGACUCCGUGCCCUUGCCAGAAGGAAGGGAAGUGGAGCAGAGGUGCAGUCCGAGGGAGAGGACUUGCGAGCCCCGAAGGCAGCAGGGCCGUGCCGGGCCGCGAGUGCCUCCCGCCCGCGACAGCACCAUGGAGAGCGCCCGGGGAGCCGCGCCGCACCGCACAGUACCGGACCGUACAGCAAAAUGGCCGCUGCUCCGCGUCUCGCCGUGCAAGUGGGCUCACGCGGGCUGGGGCCAGCGAGCUGGUAGGAACGUGUUCCUGCCCGCACCUUCCAGCCAGCUCGGAGGGAAAUCGAUCUGCUCUCUUUCCACAAGUCAGCAGUGUGUGUAAAGGGUAUGCAGCAAGCCACUAAGUCUGCAGUUGCUAUUCUCUACGAACCAAGGUUUGGUUGUCCCCAAACAAAGCAACACCAUUAGAGCACUUAAAUAAAUACAUGCACAAAUAAAUCUGGCUCUGCGUUCAUCCGUAGAUACUUGGCUAGGUUAAAGUCAGCCUCUGAGACAGCAACCCUGAUGCACUUCCAAGAGUGAUGAAACUGCUGCUCGGGUGGUUUCACUCAAUUUCUCAUAAUCAAAUAUAUCUUUCAAGGCAAUAAAUAAGUAUAAGAAAUAUCUAACCUCAGAAAUGAAAGUCCAACAAACAAAAAGACCAAAAAGAAAAAAAAAAAAAAGCCACGCUCAGAAGAAGAGUUUGCAAAUAUUUCUGAACUCUCAUUUCAAAAAUGACAGGAGCUAAUUGUUGCUUUGGUCGUGCUGCUUGUAUCCUGAACGUUAAAAGGAAUUAAUAGGAAAAGGUAUCAAUUUGUCACAACAGUGCUAAUUAAUGUUUUACAUUUUUUUUCUCUCUUUUAAUAGAUAAUUUGCUGUAAUGAGUAUAUCAGGGCUAAGUGAGAAUGGGGCUGCAAUAGUGUUUUUCUCAAAUUUCUGAAGUUAUUUAACCUACUCUCAGUAUUAACCUACUGCAGGGACCCUGCUUUAGCUGGGGAGUUGGACUCAAACUCCGACCGCUACCAUUUUGUGGUUCUGUGAUUCAUGAUGCAUGAAGAUUCAAAUGAAAAAUGUCCCUUUUUAUAAAUUGAAGAACAAGGUAUUCUGUUUCUUUAGUAUCAGGAAAAUGUUUAUUCAGCACGAGCUGUGGUGUAUUAUAAAUAAAGGUCCAGCUGACUUAAAAA
rnacentral:lncRNA from 1 species